rnacentral:tRNA from 1 species
GCACCCGUAGCUCAGCUGGAUAGGGCGCUGCCCUCCGAAGGCAGAGGUCGUGAGUUCGAAUCUCGCCGGGUGCGCCA